CUAUUCUUUACACAAUCCCAUUUAUUAUCAUCAACCCUUCACCACUACUGAAUGAUCCUAUAAUAAUAUAGAAAACACCAUGCUAGAACUAGUAACAAGAAUUUAAAAUUCUCCCUAAUGCAAGCCUCAACCAGAAUGGACCUCCCACUGGUAAUUAACGAAAAUGAGUACACUACAGCAACUAUCAAGAAAACCCCGUAUACAUCCUCGUCAACCUAACACCAGGGCAUUUCUAGAAAGAUAAUAAGGGAAAGAAGGAACUCGGCAAACCUAGACUCCGCCUGUUUACCAAAAACAUCGCCUCUUGACCCAUAAUAAGAGGUCCAGCCUGCCCAGUGAUAAAUUCAACGGCCACGGUAUCCUAACCGUGCAAAGGUAGCAUAAUCACUUGUUCUUUAAAUAAGGACUAGUAUCAACGGCAUCACGAGAGUCAUACUGUCUCCUUUCCCCCAUCAGUGAAACUGAUCUCCCCGUGAAGAAGCGGGGAUAAAACUAUAAGACGAGAAGACCCCAUGGAGCUUUAAACCCUAAGCAACCUUAUCCCAUACCCCCUCAUAAACACAAAGCCUUGCUCAACGGUUUUAGGUUGGGGUGACCACGGAGUAAAAAUCAACCUCCAAGACGAAAAGAACUAAACCUUUAUCCAAGAAAUACCACUCUAAGAAUUAGAACACUAACGUAUAAUGACCCAACAAUGAUCAACGAACCAAGUUACCCUGGGGAUAACAGCGCAAUCUACUUCAAGAGCCCAUAUCGACAAGUAGGCUUACGACCUCGAUGUUGGAUCAGGAUAUCCCAGUGGUGCAGCCACUACUGAUGGUUCGUUUGUUCAACGAUUAAAAUCUACG
rnacentral:rRNA from 1 species